GAUGAACGCUGGCGGCGUGCCUAAUACAUGCAAGUCGAGCGAACAGACGAGGAGCUUGCUCCUUCGACGUUAGCGGCGGACGGGUGAGUAACACGUAGGUAACCUACCUAUAAGACUGGGAUAACUUCGGGAAACCGGAGCUAAUACCGGAUAAUAUUUCGAACCGCAUGGUUCGAUAGUGAAAGAUGGCUUUGCUAUCACUUAUAGAUGGACCUGCGCCGUAUUAGCUAGUUGGUAAGGUAACGGCUUACCAAGGCAACGAUACGUAGCCGACCUGAGAGGGUGAUCGGCCACACUGGAACUGAGACACGGUCCAGACUCCUACGGGAGGCUGCAGUAGGGAAUCUUCCGCAAUGGGCGAAAGCCUGACGGAGCAACGCCGCGUGAGUGAUGAAGGUCUUCGGAUCGUAAAACUCUGUUAUUAGGGAAGAACAAACGUGUAAGUAACUGUGCACGUCUUGACGGUACCUAAUCAGAAAGCCACGGCUAACUACGUG
rnacentral:rRNA from 1 species